AGCCAGGUGACUAGCUCAAUCAAUCAAUGGGAUGCCAGAGAUAAAGCCAGGUCUUUAAGGAAGAAUGGGAGCCUCAUUACUCUUCCACAGAGAGCUCUUCCACUGUCUGCAGGCAGAGAGGUCUGAGGCCUCAGGGGCUGGAGGAAACGUAGAGUGGAAGGAAUGUGGGUCCCUGAAUCACUGCCUUUGGGAAGAGCAUCCGCUGCAGCCAGGGGUGCUGGCACUGGACCCUUACAUAGGCAACUCUCCUUUGUCUGUUAUGUGCCUGGCACCCUGCUAGGCCAGCCUCACCUUCAAGGAGCUCACUGACCCAGCAUCCAGCUGGAGGAGCAGGUUUUAAGGGGUUACUUGCCAUGGCCAUCUGGCUGGCCCUCGGCCUGCUCUCUCCUGACAUCAAGCCAUCUGAAGGCCAGGCUCUGACGUGGCCACUCCAGGCUCCUUUGGAUUUGGCAGCCGCCUGUCAUUGCUCAGUCCUCAGGCCUCUGAAGGUUGAUCGGCGCCUCCUGGACCCACCCAUGGACUCUUCUUGGCUGAGUUGCUCUUUUACAUUUAUUUGUCUGCUUUUGAUUAAUACUUGUCCCCACCAGAGACUGUCAGCAACAACAAGGACAGUUUUCAGUCACCACUGUAUGCCCCGCACCCAGCAGGGGGCCUGGGGCACAGCAGCCCCGUGCCAAGUAGUACUGAGUGGCGGGCUGACUCCCGGAUGGGCAAACUCCCCCAACUUUCUCCUCUUUUUAUUCUGUUUUGGUUCUGAGCCUUUUCUGCAUCACAGAACACUGAGAACUCGGCUAAAACCCUCCAGGACAACGUGUGGGCACCAUCACACGCGGGACCCUCGUCCCUCCUGAAGCCGGCCAGGUCAAGGGUCCCCGGGUCAAGGGUUCUUGUCUAAAAGCUCCAGGCUCCAUCUGGCCCCUGCUGACACCCUCCUGGACCUGAGGUCCAGCUCAUGUGGGAGUGGGAGGGAGCACCAGCAGGCCCUGCAGAUGAUGGCUAAUGGAGGAAGGGCCGGCGAGCGAGGAGCAGGCCGGGAGGGGAGAGACGCUGACGAGAAAGCCCGGAACUGAGGCUUCUUCCUGUGUGUGGGGCUGGAGGUGGGAAAUCAUGGAGGCUUCCAGGGAGAUUUGGGCUGUUCCUCACCUUGGAGAUAAUGGACUGAAUCCAUGUUGCCCCGAACUUGCUCCAUCCCUGGGCUUUACCCCGAGUCUGAGGUUUAACACGGUCCCCUCUGGCAGCUGAAUUCAGAGGGCAGAGUCUCGGAGUUUUUAGAAUAGAAAAUAGCCUCAGACAUCAUGAACCAAGCUGCUCUGUGAUGAGGAUCAGGGCUGCCCCAGGGAGAAGCCCAAGGCAUCCUGCCCUACAUACUGAUCUGUAUCAUCCUCCGGGAGCAUAGGAUGUCCUGACUUAAUCCGAUCUGAUUCUUAUCUAAAGUUAUAGGACCACCCGAUAACCAGACCCCACCUGCACUGAUACCAUUUUUAUGAUUUUUUUUCAUGAUCUUUCCUUUGUCUUGUAAAGAAAUAACUCACAUACCUAUGCCUUAUAAAUUUAGCCCUGCCCUCAGCCCACUGCAGCUCUUACUGCCCGUGGGUCCUGUCCCCAUGCUAUUCCAUACUAUUCUCUGAAUAAAAGAGCACUACUGCCAGACCUUGAGGGUCCAAGAAAUCUUUCUUUUGACUCCUCAACUCACCGAGCCCGCAUC
rnacentral:lncRNA from 1 species